rnacentral:rRNA from 1 species
AACGAACGCUGGCGGCAGGCCUAACACAUGCAAGUCGAGCGCGCCCUUCGGGGUGAGCGGCGGACGGGUGAGUAACGCGUGGGAACGUGCCCUUUUCUACGGAAUAGCCUCGGGAAACUGAGAGUAAUACCGUAUACGCCCUUUGGGGGAAAGAUUUAUCGGAAAAGGAUCGGCCCGCGUUGGAUUAGGUAGUUGGUGGGGUAAUGGCCUACCAAGCCGACGAUCCAUAGCUGGUUUGAGAGGAUGAUCAGCCACACUGGGACUGAGACACGGCCCAGACUCCUACGGGAAGCAGCAGUGGGGAAUCUUAGACAAUGGGGGCAACCCUGAUCUAGCCAUGCCGCGUGAGUGAUGAAGGCCUUAGGGUUGUAAAGCUCUUUCAGCUGGGAAGAUAAUGACGGUACCAGCAGAAGAAGCCCCGGCUAACUCCGUG